GACGAACGCUGGCGGCGUGCUUAACACAUGCAAGUCGAACGGAAAGGCCCUGCUUUUGUGGGGUGCUCGAGUGGCGAACGGGUGAGUAACACGUGAGUAACCUGCCCUUGACUUUGGGAUAACUUCAGGAAACUGGGGCUAAUACCGGAUAGGAGCUCCUGCUGCAUGGUGGGGGUUGGAAAGUUUCGGCGGUUGGGGAUGGACUCGCGGCUUAUCAGCUUGUUGGUGGGGUAGUGGCUUACCAAGGCUUUAACGGGUAGCCGGCCUGAGAGGGUGACCGGCCACAUUGGGACUGAGAUACGGCCCAGACUCCUACGGGAGGCAGCAGUGGGGAAUAUUGCACAAUGGGCGGAAGCCUGAUGCAGCAACGCCGCGUGCGGGAUGACGGCCUUCGGGUUGUAAACCGCUUUCGCCUGUGACGAAGCGUGAGUGACGGUAAUGGGUAAAGAAGCACCGGCUAACUGCGUG
rnacentral:rRNA from 1 species